GAGGCCGGGAGCAAGUCUCCUUUCGCCUUGGACUGCAGUGUCCCCCAGGGCAAGGCCUGAACCAGGUCGCGAGGGUCUGUCUCCCGUCUGGGGAGCUGAACUGCCCGAGACACUGUCGCAGUCGCGGGGACUUGUCUGGAGCGGCGGGGUCUGAGCCCAAGUCGGAAGCCGCCGCCGCCGCCAGCGUCCCGUGCGCCUGCCGCCCCGGGACCAGCCGCGAAACUUCUUCUCGGGACGGAGACAGCGCUCGCCGCCCGGGCCGAGCCCCAGGGAUGCUCAGGAAAGCAGCCUUUCUUUAGGGCUGUCAUCUGUUCUGGGGAUCUGUUGCUGUUUCUUGGGCCCACAGAAUACACUCCACACCUCGGGACUCCAUAAUAUUGGACAAGGCUGGAAGGCCCAUUUGGCUCCUGCAGCCUCUUAUGCAGGAGGACCUCCUGAGGCUUCGGGCAGGAGCUGGUGCACACCUGGAGGAGAGUGCUGGUGAAUGGCAGGUGUGUGCCUCAGUGUCCUUGCUGCCAGGGUGUCAGCCCUGCUUCACCACUGGCCGUUUGUCUCUGUCCCCUCCACUGGCCUCUUGAAGCACAGAGACCCUCCGGGUACUUUCCUUCCUCUGGGCUUCCACUCAUGCUAUUCCCUGCUCCCUUUUUCUACCUGGAGACCCCCAUUCCUCCUCCUCCUCUGCUGCCCUCACCUCCACCUGGGCCCUCCCAGCUCCCGGGAGAUGGCUGAACCCCACUCCCCACCCGCUAGUCAUCCUCUUCAGCGGUCCUCCCAGAGCUGUCCUCAGCAUGGCAGCCUCCACAGCCCCUGGGUGUCACCCCCGGUUUCGUGUCUGCCUCGGACUCCAGACCUGCCCCUCCCAGGCUGGCCCAGAUGGAUCCUCUACAGUGACUAACCCAAACCAGCACCAGGCAGGGACCCAAUAAACCUUUGUGAAUGGA
rnacentral:lncRNA from 1 species